rnacentral:rRNA from 1 species
GAUGAACGCUGGCGGCGUGCCUAAUACAUGCAAGUCGAGCGAACGGACGAGAAGCUUGCUUCUCUGAUGUUAGCGGCGGACGGGUGAGUAACACGUGGAUAACCUACCUAUAAGACUGGGAUAACUUCGGGAAACCGGAGCUAAUACCGGAUGAUAUUUUGAACCGCAUGGUUCAAAAGUGAAAGACGGUCUUGCUGUCACUUAUAGAUGGAUCCGCGCUGCAUUAGCUAGUUGGUAAGGUAACGGCUUACCAAGGCAACGAUGCAUAGCCGACCUGAGAGGGUGAUCGGCCACACUGGAACUGAGACACGGUCCAGACUCCUACGGGAGGCAGCAGUAGGGAAUCUCCCGCAAUGGGCGAAAGCCUGACGGAGCAACGCCGCGUGAGUGAUGAAGGUCUUCGGAUCGUAAAACUCUGUUAUUAGGGAAGAACAUAUGUGUAAGUAACUGUGCACAUCUUGACGGUACCUAAUCAGAAAGCCACGGCUAACUACAUG